rnacentral:RNase_P_RNA from 1 species
GAAGUCAGCCAGACAGUCGCCGCCUGUAAUUCAUUUUGAAAUACAGGGGGAGGAAAGUCCGGGCUCCACAGAGCAGGAUGACGGUUAACGGCCGUCCACCGUGAGGUGAGGAAUAGGGCCACAGAGACGAGCGUAUUCAGUUACGGUGAAACGCGGUAACCUCCAUCCGGAGCAAGACCAAAUAGGCAGGCGAUGAUGUUGCUCGCAGAGCCUGCGGGUAGGUUGCUUGAGUGUACGGGUAACUGUACACCUAGAGGAAUGACUGUCCACGACAGAACCCGGCUUACCGGCUGGCUUCAACC